GCCGGAGUGGUGAAAUUGGUAGACGCAGCGGACUCAAAAUCCGCCGGGGUAAAACCCGUGCCGGUUCGAUUCCGGCCUCCGGCA
rnacentral:tRNA from 1 species